UGGAAGUAAAAGUCGUAACAAGGUCUCCGUUGGUGAACCAGCGGAGGGAUCAUUACUGAGUACUACACUCUCUACCCUUUGUGAACUAUUAUACCUGUUGCUUCGGCGGCGCCCGCGAGGGUGCCCGCCGGUCUCAUCAGAAUCUCUGUUUUCGAACCCGACGAUACUUCUGAGUGUUCUUAGCGAACUGUCAAAACUUUUAACAACGGAUCUCUUGGCUCCAGCAUCGAUGAAGAACGCAGCGAAACGCGAUAUGUAAUGUGAAUUGCAGAAUUCAGUGAAUCAUCGAAUCUUUGAACGCACAUGGCGCCUUCCAGUAUCCUGGGAGGCAUGCCUGUCCGAGCGUCGUUUCAACCCUCGAGCCCCUGUGGCCCGGCGUUGGGGAUCUGCCACGGCAGGCCCCUAAAACCAGUGGCGGACCCGAAGGCCCUCUCCUUUGCGCAGUAGCAUCAGCCUCGCAUUGGGAUCCCUCGGCGUCCUGCCUCUAAACCCCCCACAAGUCCGCUCCGGCGGCACCAAGGUUGACCUCGGAUCAGGUAGGAAUACCCGCUGAACUUAAGCAUAUCAAUAAGCGGAGGAA
rnacentral:misc_RNA from 1 species